UACGAAGGGGGGCUAGCGUUGCUCGGAAUCACUGGGCGUAAAGGGUGCGUAGGCGGGUCUUUUAAGUCAGGGGUGAAAUCCUGGAGCUCAACUCCAGAACUGCCUUUGAUACUGAAGAUCUUGAGUUCGGGAGAGGUGAGUGGAACUGCGAGUGUAGAGGUGAAAAUUCGUAGAUAUUCGGAGGAACACCAGUGGCGAAGGCGGCUCACUGGUCCGGUACUGACGCUGAGGUGCGGAAAGCGUGGGGAGCAAACAGG
rnacentral:rRNA from 1 species